rnacentral:rRNA from 1 species
GUAGGUGGCAAGCGUUGUCCGGAAUUAUUGGGCGUAAAGCGCGCGCAGGCGGGUCCUUUAAGUCUGAUGUGAAAGCCCACGGGCUCAACCGUGGAGGGUCAUUGGAAACUGGGGGACUUGAGUACAGAAGAGGAAAGCGGAAUUCCAAGUGUAGCGGUGAAAUGCGUAGAGAUUUGGAGGAACACCAGUGGCGAAGGCGGCUUUCUGGUCUGUAACUGACGCUGAGGCGCGAAAGCGUGGGGAGCAAACAGGAUUAGAUACCCUGGUAGUCCACGCCGUAAACGAUGAGUGCUAGGUGUUAGGGGGUUUCCUCCCCUUAGUGCUGCAGCUAACGCAUUAAGCACUCCGCCUGGGGAGUACGGCCGCAAAGGCUG